rnacentral:rRNA from 1 species
AACGAACGCUGGCGGCGUGGAUAAGACAUGCAAGUCGAACGGAAUUACUUUUGUAGCAAUACAGAAGUAAUUCAGUGGCGAACGGGUGCGUAACACGUGGGCAAUCUGCCGAGAAGUGGGGGAUAGCUCGCCGAAAGGCGAAUUAAUACCGCAUGUGGUGAGGGAAGACAUCUUCCUGAAUCCAAAGCCGGGGUAACCUGGCGCUUUUUGAGGAGCCCGCGGCCUAUCAGCUUGNGGUGAGGUAACGGCUCACCAAGGCUUUGACGGGUAGCUGGUCUGAGAGGAUGGCCAGCCACAUUGGGACUGAGACACGGCCCAGACUCCUACGGGAGGCAGCAGGUGGGAAUAUUGGACAAUGGGCGAAAGCCUGAUCCAGCGAUGCCGCGUGUGUGAAGAAGGCCUGCGGGUUGUAAAGCACUUUCA